UUUUCUUUUGUAGCCCUUCUAUGGUAUAUAUUAGUGGCAGACGGGUGAGUAAUGUAUAGGAAUCUACCUAGUAGUACGGAAUAAUUGUUGGAAACGACAACUAAUACCGUAUACGCCCUACGGGGGAAAAAUUUAUUGCUAUUAGAUGAGCCUAUAUUAGAUUAGCUAGUUGGUGGGGUAAUAGCCUACCAAGGUAAUGAUCUAUAGCUGAUCUGAGAGGAUGAUCAGCCACACUGGAACUGAGAUACGGUCCAGACUCCUACGGGAGGCAGCAGUGGGGAAUAUUGGACAAUGGGCGAAAGCCUGAUCCAGCCAUGCCGCAUGAGUGAAGAAGGCCUUUGGGUUGUAAAGCUCUUUUAGUGAGGAAGAUAAUGACGGUACUCACAGAAGAAGUCCUGGCUAACUCCGUGCCAGCAGCCGCGGUAAUACGGAGAGGGCUAGCGUUAUUCGGAAUUAUUGGGCGUAAAGGGCGCGUAGGCUGGUUAAUAAGUUAAAAGUGAAAUCCCGAGGCUUAACCUUGGAAUUGCUUUUAAAACUAUUAAUCUAGAGAUUGAAAGAGGAUAGGGGAAUUCCUGAUGUAGAGGUAAAAUUCGUAAAUAUUAGGAGGAACACCAGUGGCGAAGGCGUCUAUCUGGUUCAAAUCUGACGCUGAAGCGCGAAGGCGUGGGGAGCAAACAGGAUUAGAUACCCUGGUAGUCCACGCUGUAAACGAUGAAUGUUAAAUAUGGGGAGUUUACUUUCUGUAUUACAGCUAACGCGUUAAACAUUCCGCCUGGGGACUACGGUCGCAAGAUUAAAACUCAAAGGAAUUGACGGGGACCCGCACAAGCGGUGGAGCAUGUGGUUUAAUUCGAUGCAACGCGUAAAACCUUA
rnacentral:rRNA from 1 species